rnacentral:lncRNA from 1 species
UAAAAUCAAAAUAGGGCUGGGGAGGUGACUCAGUGUUGAGUGCCCCUGAGUUUAAUCCCUGGUAACCCCCCCAAGAAAAAGAUUUACUGAGGGCAUGAAGAGGGUGGAGAAGGGGGUUCCCGGAGGAUUCCAGGGUGGUGGCCGGUGUGAGGGGAGGCAGGAGGGUGGCGCUUGCUGAGGAACAGUGUGCAGGGACACAGGGCUGGAGGGCAAAGGCCCUGUUGGACAGCCCAGUGUGGUGUUGAGGGGCAGCUGGACAUCCCAGCCCGGAGUCCAGGGGAAGGCCCAGCGGUGGCUGUGGAGUCCCCAGAGUCUAGAGGGUGCACUCCCCAGGGAGUGGGUGUGGGUAGAGCCAACAAGGGGACAGGACUGGGGACCCCUGGGUGCCUCGCACCUGGCAUCUGGGGACAGGAGCAGGAAGGGCCGGGCAGGGAGCCGAGGCCUGGCCCAGGAGGCCCCCGGCAGCUCGGAGUGUCCUGGGAGUUGAGGAGGAAGGUUGUUUCAGGAGGGAGGAGGUCACCAACUCCACUCGGAGGCAAGGACACCUGUGUCCCUGCAAAGUCGCCUGUGGACACUGUCAGCAGCAUGCUCACGGCUGCCAAAAAGUGGACACAACCCAAAUGUCCACUCCCAGAUGAAUGGACGAGCAGAACGAGGACCAAGACUCUCACGGGGCGUUCUUCAGCCAGGGACGGGGCUCUGACUCACUGUGACGUGGGGAACCUCAGUGACGUCUUGCUGCGUGAAAGGGGCCACACCCCAGGUGCCACGGGCUGUCUGGUUCCACCUGUGAAUCACCCAGCCUUCGCACCUGCGUUGACACGGACAGCUGACCGGAGGUCCCAGGGCCUGCGGGGGACUGGGAGCCGCUGCCUGGCAGAGGCAGAAUUUUAUUGUGGGAAAAUGGAAGGGCCCUGGAGGUGGGUGGUGGGGCUGGUCGCUCAACCAGGUGCAUGUCCUGAUGUCACUCAGCUGUGCACUUGAAAGUGGCUAAAAGGCAGGUUUUGUGUUAUAUAUGAUUUUUUUUAGAGAGAAUUUUUUAAUAUAUAUAUAUAUAUAUUUUUAGUUUUCGGCGGACACAACAUCUUUGUAUGUGGUGCUGAGGAUUGAACCCAGGCCGAACGCAUGCCAGGCGAGCGCGCUACCGCUUGAGCCACAUCCCCAGCCCAAUGUUAUAUAUGAUUUACCACAAUUGUCUAGAAGGGAGAGAAUGACCUUAUCUUGCUGGCCACAGUUAUUGGCUCAGAAAGGGUUAUGUGACCCAAGCUGACCCAAUGCGAAUCCUGCUUGGGACUUUGGCUGGGAAUAUUGACAGGGCUCUCUCUCUCCUGAAGUUGUUGGGCUGGUGGAGUAGAGGCCUGCAGGUGGUGGAAUCAUCCUUUCCCACUUCUUUGGAAGAGCCUGCUUAAGUGAAGCUUGUGCAGAACAAGGAACACCUGGAGAUAUGCACGUCCUGACAAAAGCACUGGAGUCCCUGGAUCAAACUGUGCCUGAAGCCAUCACAUUUUUAGACUUAAACCAAUAAAUUCUUUUUUGCUGCU